rnacentral:rRNA from 1 species
UACAGGGGGGGCAAGCGUUGUUCGGAAUUACUGGGCGUAAAGGGCUCGUAGGCGGCCAACUAAGUCCGACGUGAAAUCCCAAAGCUUAACUUUGGAACUGCGUCGGAUACCGGAUGGCUUGAAUUCGGGAGAGGGAUGCAGAAUUCCUGGUGUAGCGGUGGAAUGCGCAGAUAUCAGGAGGAACACCAAUAGCGAAGGCAGCUCGCUGGGACGGUAUUGACGCUAAGGCGCGAAAGCGUGGGGAGCAAACAGG